rnacentral:lncRNA from 1 species
UAAAUAAAUAAAUAAAUAAAUAAAAUUAAAGAGCUGGUGAAUUAAAAAAACAAAGAUUCCAACAGUAUAAUGGAAAAACAUGCAAAAUAGGCAAUUAAAGCAAGUAUUUAAAAAUAAAUGUUUGCAAAACACUGCCUAGGUUGGUAAAUCAAUUGUAAAUAAAUUGUAUUUAUGAAGAAUUUAUGCUGAAAUAGAGUGGCAAACAAAACUUUCUGAUCAUUGCCCUCAGGAAUUUGUAGUGUAAACUUUGAUAAGGCUCUGAUUCUAGUCAUGUAUGUAUAUGUGUGUAUGUAUGUUUAUAUAUAUACUUAUAUAUACAUAUAUAUAUGAUGUACAAAUGCAAAGUUACCUCCUUUGUAAAGUAAUCCCAUAGCAAGCCUCAAAUGCUAUAUAAGCAAUGGUACAGGUUUAAGACUUCAAAAAUGGAGCAUUGUAAGUAUUCAAUGCAUAUUGUGCACAUGAAUCCAUAUACUUCUGCAUUACCUGUAAAGCUCUAGUUCAAUCACCAUUGGAGAAUUUUUCUCAAUGUGCCAUUUAUCUUUUGUAUAUUUUCUCGUAUUACUAGAUUCCUUUAUUAAGAAUUAGGGAUUAAACAGGUAGGUAGAGAGAAUUUCUUUAUGUUAUUGUCUCAUCCCUUUAAACUUUUGUACAUGUUUAAAUGUUAAUAAUACAUUCUCUUUUCUGUUUCUUUCAUGAGUAAAAUCUGGACUCAUGUCAUGGCUUAAAUGCAGCCUAUGCUGGCAAGCUAUACAUAUUAAGAUUUGAAAAGUAAACUUUGAACCAUUAUUUUGGUGUAAUGCUUAUUAAGGAACCUCUUUUGAAGAUGCUGCACAUAGGGACCAAAUUUGGCAAAGGUGGGGAUCUCCAAAUAAUUACAUUGAAGCAAUUACUACCAUUCUUAUUCUUAAUCAGAGGUUAAGACUACAGACCCUGAAUCACAUUCAAAUCACCACUUCUUAUUUGGACAACUUUGGGGAGUAGUAUGAUCUCUCUGGGCAUCUACAGUGGGAAUAACAAUGAUGAUAAUAACAACUAUAAC